CUCCGGGGAAGAAGGCUGCAGGGUUAUCUCUCUCGGAAGGAGGAAGAGGCUUCCCGCGUUACAGGCCCUAAGGGACAGAACCAGAACUGGGACCACCGGAUGGGAGAUACACACAGACCGGGAUUCGUAAAGACGCUGUCUUUGUAGACAUGUCGACGAUCAUGACACAUGGCAUAAUUUUUCUGAAGCAUGAAGAAAAAAUUAAAAGGCAAUACAGUUCCUAAGAGGUGAGAGAGACAGACAGAGACAGACAGACAGGCAGAGCCGCAGUGCACACACACGGUGCGUGUGUCGGAGAGGCCGCCGGGAGACUCACC